ACAUCCAGUCGGACGAGAAAUUCCGAUUCGUCGGGAGAGUAAAGUGGCGAACGGGUGAGUAACACGAGGGUAACUUACCCUUAAAUUAGGGAUAACCUUGCGAAAGCGAAGCUAAUACCUGAUAAGACUACGAUCUCCAAGGAGAUAGUAGGAAAAGAUGGCCUCUGUUUCAUGCUAUUGUUUAAGGAUGAGCCCUUGCACUAUUAGCUUGUUGGUGAGGUAAUGGCCCACCAAGGCUACGAUGGUUAGCUGGUCUGAGAGGAUGAUCAGCCACACUGGAACUGAGACACGGUCCAGACUCCUACGGGAGGCAGCAGUGAGGAAUAUUGCGCAAUGGGGGAAACCCUGACGCAGUGACGCCGCGUGAGCGAUGAAGGCUUUCGAGUCGUAAAGCUCUGUUAGGUGGAAAGAAACAUUCCAGUGCCAAUACCACUGGAAUUUGACGGUACCACCAGAGGAAGCACCGGCUAACUCCGUGCCAGCAGCCGCGGUAAUACGGAGGGUGCAAGCGUUGUUCGGAUUUACUGGGCGUAAAGGGCGUGUAGGCGGCUAGGCAAGUCAGGUGUGAAAUCCCUUGGCUCAACCAAGGAAGUGCAUUUGAAACUGCUUAGCUAGAGUACAGGAGGGGAAAGUGGAAUUCCCAG
rnacentral:rRNA from 1 species